UACAGAGGUCCCAAGCGUUGUUCGGAUUCACUGGGCGUAAAGGGUGCGUAGGCGGCGCGGCAAGUCGGGUGUGAAAUCUCGGGGCUUAACUCCGAAACUGCAUUCGAUACUGCCGUGCUUGAGGACUGGAGAGGAGACUGGAAUUCACGGUGUAGCAGUGAAAUGCGUAGAUAUCGUGAGGAAGACCAGUGGCGAAGGCGGGUCUCUGGACAGUUCCUGACACUGAGGCACGAAGGCCAGGGGAGCAAACGGG
rnacentral:rRNA from 1 species